rnacentral:rRNA from 1 species
CACGUAGGGCGUAAGCGUUGUCCGGAAUUAUUGGGCGUAAAGAGCUCGUAGGCGGUCUGUUGCGUCCGCUGUGAAAACUCGGGGCUUAACCCCGAGCCUGCAGUGGAUACGGGCAGACUAGAGGUAGGUAGGGGAGAAUGGAAUUCCCGGUGUAGCGGUGAAAUGCGCAGAUAUCGGGAGGAACACCGGUGGCGAAGGCGGUUCUCUGGGCCUUACCUGACGCUGAGGAGCGAAAGCGGUGGGAGCGAACAGG